CUGCAUCUAUUGAUAGACCAUAAGCUUAAUUCUGUUGCUUUUUGGUUUGCACUGAGAUGCUAUAGAAACGUUCCUCGCGCUUUCUGUGUGUCCUACUGUGGCUAAGCAGAUUGAAUAGAGGAAUACAUUG